rnacentral:rRNA from 1 species
GGCUCAAUGAUGAUCCACUAUUUCGUGCACUGGUAAAGAUGGAGUUGUGAGUAAUACUCACUACUGACAAGUGAAAAUGGUGCAAACUUGUGGCUCGCCAAUUUUCCAUAUUUAAAUUAUACCGACAGAAAACCGAAUAAUUCCGGUUGAUCCUGCCGGCGGCCACUGCUAUCAGGUUUCGGCUAAGCCAUGCGAGUCUAGGGAUCGCAAGAUACCGGCAUACUGCUCAGUAACACGCGGACAAUCUGCCCCCAGGUGAAGAAUACCCUCGGGAAACUGAGGCUAAUACUUCAUAAUCACUAUAUGCUGGAAUGCUUUGGUGAUGAAAGAAUUUCGCCUGAGGAUGAGUCUGCGGCCUAUCAGGUCGUAUGUGGUGUAAAGGACCACAUAGCCUAAGACGGGUACGGGCCUUGAAAGAGGGAGCCCGGAGAUGGAC